rnacentral:rRNA from 1 species
GAUGAACGCUGGCGGCGUGCCUAAUACAUGCCAGUCGAGCGAACGGACGAGAAGCUUGCUUCUCUGAUGUUAGCGGCGGACGGGUGAGUAACACGUGGAUAACCUACCUAUAAGACUGGGAUAACUUCGGGAAACCGGAGCUAAUACCGGAUGAUAUUUUGAACCGCAUGGUUCAAAAGUGAAAGACGGUCUUGCUGUCACUUAUAGAUGGAUCCGCGCUGCAUUAGCUAGUUGGUAAGGUAACGGCUUACCAAGGCAACGAUGCAUAGCCGACCUGAGAGGGUGAUCGGCCACACUGGAACUGAGACACGGUCCAGACUCCUACGGGAGGCAGCAGUAGGGAAUCUUCCGCAAUGGGCGAAAGCCUGACGGAGCAACGCCGCGUGAGUGAUGAAGGUCUUCGGAUCGUAAAACUCUGUUAUUAGGGAAGAACAUAUGUGUAAGUAACUGUGCACAUCUUGACGGUACCUAAUCUGAAAGCCACGGCUAACUACGUG